AGAGUUUGAUCAUGGCUCAGAUUGAACGCUGGCGGCAGGCCUAACACAUGCAAGUCGAGCGCGAAAGCACUUCGGUGUGAGUAGAGCGGCGGACGGGUGAGUAAUGCUUGGGAAUCUGCCCAGUAGUGGGGGAUAACGUGUGGAAACGCACGCUAAUACCGCAUACGUCCUACGGGAGAAAGCAGGGGAUCUUCGGACCUUGCGCUAUUGGAUGAGCCCAAGUCAGAUUAGCUAGUUGGUGGGGUAAUGGCCUACCAAGGCGACGAUCUGUAGCUGGUCUGAGAGGAUGAUCAGCCACACUGGGACUGAGACACGGCCCAGACUCCUACGGGAGGCAGCAGUGGGGAAUAUUGCACAAUGGGCGAAAGCCUGAUGCAGCCAUGCCGCGUGUGUGAAGAAGGCUCUAGGGUUGUAAAGCACUUUCAGUAGGGAGGAAAUGUUGUUGAUUAAUACUCAACAAUCUUGACGUUACCUACAGAAGAAGCACCGGCAAACUCCGUGCCAGCAGCCGCGGUAAUACGGAGGGUGCGAGCGUUAAUCGGAAUUACUGGGCGUAAAGCGCGCGUAGGUGGUUUGAUAAGCUAGCUGUGAAAGCCCCGGGCUUAACCUGGGAACUGCAGUUAGAACUGUCUGACUAGAGUACUGUAGAGGGGA
rnacentral:rRNA from 1 species